GUGCAUGUUGAGGUCCAGUUCGUGUGAUCCUUUUUUGUAGGUCACACAUCCUCUAUACAUGCAAUAUAAUCCCAAGGAGUUGUCAGGGCUGCCAGCUUUUCAGUACAUGCUGAGUGGUAGUAUAUUACUCCUACAUUA